UGGCGUGUUGUGAGUUUGCGUGUGCUGUCAGAGAUCACGCUGCUGCUGCUGCUGAGCCAAGACGAGGUGGAGGAGAGCGAGAGAGAUGGAGGGAGAGAAAGAGAGGCAGAGUGGGAAGGUGAAGGCAUCUCAUCCAACACUCGCUUGCUGACGCUCAUCUCUGAGGCCCUGCUGCCACAGUAUAAGACUCUGCUUCUGGAGUCAGAUCCUGUACCGGUGUAUGCUCUCAAACUGCUGGUGUCCCUCACUGAGUGCAGCUCACCCAUCAGCAGGCUUGUUAGAGAGAGCAGUCUCCUGCCUGAUAUCUUUCAAGUCAUAGAGUAACACAAGAAUAACACAGUCGGCAGCAUGAUGCAGAAUGCCAUGGCUCUCCUCUGCAAUCUGACUGGACAGAAGGGCACAGAACUCCGACCAUUCUACCAGCAAGAGAUCAGACAGUAAUGAAGACACUGAGGCUGCAGAGGAACUACUGCUUAUCAAUAAGCCACUGACAAACCUAAACAACCUCCUCAUUCAGCUGCUGGCGUGUAAUAACAGUGAGGUGUAUGAGGAGGCCAGUCACUGUGUGUCUCUGCUGGCUCAGCUGUACGGAGGAGAGGGUGCGGACUGCCUGCAGCCGGAGGAGCUGCUCAGCCUGGCACACGCACUGCAGACGCAAACUGAACCCA